CCUGCUUCCCAUGGAGCUGGGCCCACAAGGGCAGGGCGGCUGGGCAUGUUGCUCUCCCAAGGAGGUCUCAGCCCUGCCCAACAGCCCCUCUGGCUCCUGAAAAAAAUCCCAGGGAGCCUUCCACAGGCUGAAGGCUCUGUGCAGGACUUGGCGUGGGGCUGACACAUGGGGACAGUCAUCGCUUACUGAGUACCUGCUGACACCAGGAAUUGGGACAGCUGCUCCCCCAUCACCUUGACCACCCUGCUGAACACCAUCCCAUGAGGGAGAUGCUGAGACCUGGAGGGCAGCAGCUUGGGAAGCGACUGCCACCGGUGGACAACCCUCACCUGGCCUGAGUCCAUGCGAACAUCCAUCCUGAAGCAGGCAUUGGGAAGUCCAGAGGUGACUCAUCACAUCCCCGUUGUUGAGAAGUUCCUCGUAUGGUUGAAGAUGGCCCUUAUCAGAG